UGGGGAGACCUAAUCCAUUUAGAAAUCGAAAACAAUGAAAAUUGUCAAUAGAAACUAAAUUGGUCUAACCUAGGUCGUUCGAGAUUGGUAGACAUCUUUCAAAGUAUUAUUCGGCUUCGUUCAAAACCAUAUAUAAUAAAUGGAAAAAGACAGCACCUAAUUGUCAAAGUUAGACAGCUGGAUGAAGUUCCAGCCAGAACCUUGAAAACUGCAUAAGAGAACAAGAAAAAGCAGGCAGACACAGACAUUUAGAUGGAUGUGGAAGCAAAAGAAAUUGU
rnacentral:misc_RNA from 1 species